GGCUGGAUCGUGGCUCAGACUGAACGCUGGCGGGAUGCUUUACACAUGCAAGUCGAACGGCAGCACGGACUUCGGUCUGGUAUGAGGGCGAACGGGUGAGUAAUGCAUCGUGGAACGUGCCCAGUAGCGGGGAUAACUACGCGAAAGCGCAGCGACACCGCAUACGCCCUUCGGGGAAAGCGGGGACCUUCGGGCCUCGCACUAUUAGAGCGGCCGAUAUCGGAUUAGCUAGUUGGUGGGGUAACGGCUCACCACAGCGAUGAUCCGUAGCUGGUUUGAGAGACGACUGAAGCACACUGGGACUGGAGACACGCCCAGACUCCUACGGUGGGAGGCAGCAGUGGGGAAUUUUGGACAAUGGGGGAAACCCCGAUCCAGCCAUCCUUAUGUGCGAUGAAGUGGCCUUCAAGGUAGCACUUUGGCAGUGAAGAAACGGCACGGGAUAAUACCCCGUGCAACUGAUGGCACUGCAGAAUAAGCACCGGCUAACUACGUGCCAGCAGCCGCGGUAAUACGUAGGGUGCAAGGUUGACCGGAAUUACUGGGCGUAAAAGUUGCGCAGGCGGUUCGGAAAGAAAGAUGUGAAAUCCCAGAGCGAAUCUUUGGAACUGCAUUUUUAACUACUGGAGCUAGAGUGUGUCAGAGGGAGGAAUUCCGCGUGUAGCAGUGAAAUGCGCGUAGAUAUGCGGAGGAACACCGAUGGCGUACAGCCUCCUGGAUAACAUUGACGUCGGCUAUGCAAUGAAAGUGUGGGGAGCAAACAGGAUUAGAUACUCCUGGUAGUCCACGCCUCAAACGAUGUCAACUAGCUGUUAGCCUUCGGCCUGGUAGCGCAGCUAACGCGCGGCUGACCGCCUGGGGAGUACGGUCGCAAGAUUAAAACUCAAAGGAAUUGACGGGGACCCGCACAAGCGGUGGAUGAUGUGGAUUAAUUCGAUGCAACGCGAAAAACCCACUCACUUGACAUGUCUGGAAUCCCGUGAAGAGAUUUGGGAAUGCUCGCAAGAGAACCGGAACACAGGUGCUGCAUGGCUGUCGUCAGCUCGUGUCGUGAGAUGUUGGGUUAAGUCCCGCAACGAGCGCAACCCUUGUCAUUAGUUGCUACGAAAGGGCACUCUAAUGAGACUGCCGGUGACAAACCGAGGAAGGUGGGGAUGACGUCAAGUCCUCAUGGCCCUUAUGGGCAGGGCUUCACACGUCAUACAAUGGUCGGGACAGAGGGUCGCCAACCCGCGAGGGGAGCCAAUCCCAGAAACCCGAUCGUAGUCCGGAUCGCAGUCUGCAACUCGACUGCGUGAAGUCGGAACGCUAGUAAUCGCGGAUCAGCAUGUCGCGGUGAAUACGUUCCCGGGUCUUGUACACACCGCCCGUCACACCAUGGGGAGUGGGUUUUACCAGAAGUAGUUAGCCUAACCGUAAGGAGGGCGAUUACCACGGUAGGAUUCAUGACUGGGGUGAAGUCGUAACAAGGUAA
rnacentral:rRNA from 1 species